AGCGGGGUGGGGUAGCCAGGAAAACCCGUCGGGCUCAUAACCCGAAAAUCCGUGGUUCAAAUCCACGCCCCGCUA
rnacentral:tRNA from 1 species